rnacentral:piRNA from 1 species
UGGAANAUCAGACUGCCACACUUAGUACA